ACGAAGAACUCAAGUCCCACAAACA
rnacentral:piRNA from 1 species